rnacentral:rRNA from 1 species
UACGUAGGGGGCGAGCGUUGUCCGGAUUUAUUGGGCGUAAAGAGCUCGUAGGCGGCUUGUCGCGUCGACUGUGAAAACCCGUGGCUCAACCAUGUGGUCUGCAGUCGAUACGGGCAGGCUAGAAUUCGGUAGGGGAGACUGGAAUUCCUGGUGUAGCGGUGAAAUGCGCAGAGUAUCAGGAGGAACACCGGUGGCGAAGGCGGGUCUCUGGGCCGAUAUUGACGCUGAGGAGCGAAAGCGUGGGGAGCGAACAGG